rnacentral:tRNA from 1 species
GUGGGCGUAGCUCAGCUGGCAGAGCGCCUGACUGUGGCUCAGGUUGUCGUGGGUUCGAUCCCCAUCGCUCACCCCA